GAUUGGGUAAAGAUAAUUUUUCUUGAGAAGUGACGCACGAUCUUUAAUUCAUCUCUCUCUAUCUCGUCUGCAUGGAUCAACACGAAAUGAUACAUAAUGUAUUUCAUGAUUCCGAAAUGGAGAAAAAGGACAUGGAUUGCCGCAGCCUCAAGUCCAAGAAAGCCCCUUCAGAUCUCAUUUUCUCCACCUCUCUUUUACUGUUCGAACUUCUCGCCGACCUUCAAGAAUGAGAAGUUUCAUCAACCGAAUCUUGCCCGUACAGUUCCAUCAGCUUCCUUUCACUCCCUGCAGUCGUGGACUCACCCUAUCCUUUUUUUGGCUGAGCAAGUUCAUGGAAAUCAUUGGCUUUUAGGAAGGUGAAGAACAAGGAUUUCCGAACCACAUAGUUCGAGUGGCUCAGUUGGAUAUGCAGAAACUGUGCUGGCCGAGUGGUUUGGGGAGGGAAGGGAAGGAGACGAGUUGGAAGGUGAUAUGGUCUGGAUGGCAGGAGGGGGAGGAGGUGGGGUUUGCUCAGUGCCAGAGGCUGCAGAUUGAUCAGUCAUGGGAAGAGGGGAAGGUCGGGAUAGAGUCGGCAGAAAGGGAGAGAGAUUGAGAAAAUAGGAAUCCUACAAAAUCAUGGCUCCGAUACCAUGAGCGAUUGAGGCGUGACCCAAUAUGGUCAUUGCGAUUUGUAUAUACAGACACAAUUUGGUACAUUGAAGUGUUUCGAUACACAAUGAUCUAUACAAAGAAAUAAUAUCCCGAAAUAUAUUCUAAUAAUAUCCUUUGUUA